rnacentral:rRNA from 1 species
ACGCUGGCGGCAGGCUUAACACAUGCAAGUCGAACGGUAACAGGAGAAAGCUUGCUUUCUUGCUGACGAGUGGCGGACGGGUGAGUAAUGCUUGGGAAUCUGGCUUAUGGAGGGGGAUAACGACGGGAAACUGUCGCUAAUACCGCGUAGAGUCGAGAGACGAAAGUGCGGGACCGCAAGGCCGCAUGCCAUAGGAUGAGCCCAAGUGGGAUUAGGUAGUUGGUGGGGUAAUAGCCUACCAAGCCGACGAUCUCUAGCUGGUCUGAGAGGAUGACCAGCCACACCGGGACUGAGACACGGCCCGGACUCCUACGGGAGGCAGCAGUGGGGAAUAUUGCGCAAUGGGGGCAACCCUGACGCAGCCAUGCCGCGUGAAUGAAGAAGGCCUUCGGGUUGUAAAGUUCUUUCGGUAUUGAGGAAGGUUGUUGUGUUAAUAGCACGAUAAAUUGACGUUAAAUACAGAAGAAGCACCGGCUAACUCCGUGCCAGCAGCCGCGGUAAUACGGAGGGUGCGAGCGUUAAUCGGAAUAACUGGGCGUAAAGGGCACGCAGGCGGACUUUUAAGUGAGGUGUGAAAUCCCCGGGCUUAACCUGGGAAUUGCAUUUCAGACUGGGAGUCUAGAGUACUUUAGGGAGGGGUAGAAUUCCACGUGUAGCGGUGAAAUGCGUAGAGAUGUGGAGGAAUACCGAAGGCGAAGGCAGCCCCUUGGGAAUGUACUGACGCUCAUGUGCGAAAGCGUGGGGAGCAAACAGGAUUAGAUACCCUGGUAGUCCACGCUGUAAACGCUGUCGAUUUGGGGAUUGGGCUUUAAGCUUGGUGCCCGAAGCUAACGUGAUAAAUCGACCGCCUGGGGAGUACGGCCGCAAGGUUAAAACUCAAAUGAAUUGACGGGGGCCCGCACAAGCGGUGGAGCAUGUGG